GAUUUCAACUGAAAAAGUCAUCAACAACAAAGUUCUAUAACUCAUCAAGAUCUAUAACUUUAAUUUUGGUCAUUUCUUCAUCCGACAAAGUGAUAGUAAUAUUGUUCACAAAUUGAACAUAUAUUUCAUAUGGUUUUAUAAACUAUAAGAGAGAUAUGUAAAUUUUGUGAAUAAUAUUACAGUCACUUUAUCAGAUGAAGAAACGAUCAAAAUAAAUAUAUCUUGAUGAGUUCUACAACUUUUAUGUUCAUGACUUUUUCAACUAAAAUU
rnacentral:pre_miRNA from 1 species